rnacentral:rRNA from 1 species
ACGCUGGCGGCGUGCCUAACACAUAGCAAGUCGAGCGGUUCUUAAGCUGUAGUUUACUAUAGCUUAAGAAUAGCGGCGAACGGGUGAGUAACACGUGGGCAACCUGUCCGAAAGAUCGGGAUAACAGUCCGAAAGGGCUGCUAAUACCGAAUACGCUUACCGGGUCGCAGUGAUCCGGUAAGGAAAGGUCCGGCAACUUCCGCUUUCGGGUGGGCCCGCGUCCCAUUAGCUAGUUGGUAGGGUAACGGCCUACCAAGGCAACGAUGGGUAGCUGGUCUGAGAGGAUGGUCAGCCACACUGGGACUGAGACACGGCCCAGACUCCUACGGGAGGCAGCAGUGGGGAAUCUUGCGCAAUGGGCGAAAGCCUGACGCAGCGACGCCGCGUGAGCGAGGAAGGCCUUCGGGUCGUAAAGCUCUCGUCAGAGGGGACGAUAAUGACGGUACCCUCAGAGGAAGCCCCGGCUAACUACGUG